rnacentral:lncRNA from 1 species
AGUCGGAGCGCUGCAAACCCUGAGUUGCAACACCAGGACACCUUACCAACUAGAGACCUGAAGCCCUCAUGCUAUAUAUAUUCUGACCACCUAGAACCUUGACUUAGAUGUUCCAUCGGGACCAAGCUUAUUCUACUAGAAGCAAGAUGGCUGAACUCAAUACUCAUGUGAAUGUCAAGGAAAAG